UUACAUAAAGUCCAGCUCUGUGAAAAACUGACAGGCAUGAUGGAAUCCUUGCCUGCAGCAAGCAAAAACAUCAGCAGUCUUGGGGGGACCCUUCACCCAGGUUUUUCUUUAUGUCCUCCAGAGUUGCUGACCUGCAUUGAGAGGAGUGUCUUCACUAGGAUGUUUGUUACGGGAAUAGAACCACAUCUCUUUAUAUCCCCAGGAUUUAGCACAAUGUCCUGCACAUAGUGAAUGUUCCAACUGUGGUUUGAAAGCUAUUAAUAAACCCUAUGGCUAGAUGAGAGGUCGAUGUGUCUGCACUUCUGUUCUUUGACAUCCAGAAGUAGACUAACCCAAAGACCGAGAAAAAUCUUUUCUUGCAAAGAAGGAAUUAACUACAAAAAUGACAGUUAACUGGAACAGUUUUGUGUCAGAGAACAAGGCCAUUUUAUCUCCAAGCAACUAUGAAUUUUUCUAGUGGAAUUAAACAAUUUAACAUGAAAUGUUCACUUAUCAUCCUAUCUAGGAAGCAAACAAUAUUUCUUGAUGC